rnacentral:rRNA from 1 species
GAUGAACGCUGGCGGCGUGCCUAAUACAUGCAAGUCGAGAGAACGGACGAGAAGCUUGCUUCUCUGAUGUUAGCGGCGGACGGGUGAGUAACACGUGGAUAACCUACCUAUAAGACUGGGAUAACUUCGGGAAACCGGAGCUAAUACCGGAUAAUAUUUUGAACCGCAUGGUUCAAAAGUGAAAGACGGUCUUGCUGUCACUUAUAGAUGGAUCCGCGCUGCAUUAGCUAGUUGGUAAGGUAACGGCUUACCAAGGCAACGAUGCAUAGCCGACCUGAGAGGGUGAUCGGCCACACUGGAACUGAGACACGGUCCAGACUCCGACGGGAGGCAGCAGUAGGGAAUCUGCCGCAAUGGGCGAGAGCCUGACGGAGCAACGCCGCGUGAGUGAUGAAGGUCUUCGGAUCGUAAAACGCUGUUAUUAGGGAAGAACAUAUGUGUAAGUAACUGUGCACAUCUUGACGGUACCUAAUCAGAAAGCCACGGCUAACUACGU